rnacentral:sRNA from 1 species
GCCGGGCGUGGUGGUGCAUGCCUGUAAUCCCAGCUACUUGGGAGGCUGAGGCAGGAGAAUUGCUUGAGCCUGGGAGGCGGAGGUUGCAGUGAGCCAAGAUCACGCCACUGCACUCCAUCCUGGGGGACAAAGCAAGACUCUGUCUCGA